UACGUGCGGGGCGAACGUUGUUCGGUGUCAUUGGGCGUAAAGAGCUCGUAGGCGGUGUGUCGCGUCGGCCGUGAAAACCUGCAGCUUAACUGUGGGCUUGCGGUCGAUACGGGCAUCACUGGAGUUCGGCAGGGGAGACUGGAAUUCCUGGUGUAGCGGUGAAAUGCGCAGAUAUCAGGAGGAACACCGGUGGCGAAGGCGGGUCUCUGGGCCGAUACUGACGCUGAGGAGCGAAAGCGUGGGGAGCGAACAGG
rnacentral:rRNA from 1 species